UCAAGUUAUUAAGGGUGCAGGGCGGAUGCCUUGGCACUAGGAGCCGAUGAAGGACGUGAUAAGCUGCGAUAAGCUUCGGGGAGUUGCACGUAAACUUUGAUCCGAAGAUUUCCGAAUGAGGAAACUCACUUAGAGUAAUGUCUAAGUAUCAUUAAGUGAAUACAUAGCUUAAUGAGGGGAACUCAGGGAACUGAAACAUCUAAGUACCUGAAGGAAGAGAAAGAAAUUCGAUUCCGUAAGUAGCGGCGAGCGAACGCGGAUUAGCCCAAACCAAUAAAGUUUUCUUUAUUGGGGUUGCGGACAUAUCAUAACGAAGAGGUAUCGUAAUUGAAGAGGUUUGGAAAGACCCACCACAGAAGGUAAUAGUCCUGUAUGUUAAACGAGAAGACUUUAGAUAUGAUCCAGAGUACCACGGGACACGUGAAACCCUGUGGGAAGCAGGAGGGACCACCCUCCAAGGCUAAAUACUACCUAGUGACCGAUAGCGUAUAGUACCGUGAGGGAAAGGUGAAAAGAACCCCGGGAGGGGAGUGAAAUAGAACCUGAAACCCUGCACUUACAAGCUGUGGAAGCACAUUUCUUGUGUGACCGCGUACUUUUUGUAGAACGGGCCAACGAGUUACGUUAAGUAGCAAGGUUAAGCACUUAAGGUGCGGAGCCGUAGCGAAAGCGAGUUUUAACUGAGCGUUCAGUUACUUGACGUAGACCCGAAACCGGGCGACCUACCCAUGAGCAGGAUGAAGCGAAAGUAAAAUUUCGUGGAGGUCCGAACCCACGAGCGUUGAAAAGCUCGGGGAUGACUUGUGGGUAGCGGUGAAAUUCCAAUCGAGCCCGGAGAUAGCUGGUUCUCCCCGAAAUAGCUUUAGGGCUAGCCUCAAGGUGAGAGAUACGGAGGUAGAGCACUGAAUGUCCUAGGGGGUAUUGCACCUACCGAAGACUAUCAAACUCCGAAUGCCGUCAUCUUAUACUUGGGAGUCAGACUGUGGGUGAUAAGAUUCAUAGUCGAAAGGGCAACAGCCCAGAUCGUCAGCUAAGGUCCCUAAAUGUAAGUUAAGUGGUAAAGGAUGUGGGAUUGCACAGACAACCAGGAUGUUGGCUUAGAAGCAGCCACUCAUUCAAAGAGUGCGUAAUAGCUCACUGGUCGAGUGAUCCUGCGCCGAAGAUUUCCGGGGCUAAAACUUACUACCGAAGCUACGGCAUCAGUAAUGAUGGGUAGGGGAGCUUCCCAUACGGGUUGAAGCAUGACCGUAAGGACAUGUGGACAGUAUGGGAGUGAGAAUGUUGGCAUGAGUAGCGAGAUGUGGGUGAGAAUCCCACAGGCCGUAAACCCAAGGUUUCCAGGGGAAGGUUCGUCCGCCCUGGGUUAGUCGGGACCUAAGCUGAGGCCGAAAGGCGUAGGUGAUGGACAACAGGUUGAUAUUCCUGUACUACCGAUAACCGUUUGAGAGAAGGGAUGACACAGUAGGAUAAGCUAAGCACACUGUUGGUUAUGUGUGCCCAAGCAUUGAGGCAGUCAAAGUAGGCAAAUCCGCUUUGAUAAUGCUGGGAUGUGAUGGGGAGCGAAAUUUAGUAGCGAAGUAGCUGAUUUCACACUGUCAAGAAAAGUCUCUAUCGAGGUUAAAGGUACCCGUACCGCAAACCGACACAGGUGGGUGAGGAGAGUAUCCUAAGGCCAGCGAGAGAACUGUUGUUAAGGAACUCGGCAAAAUGACCCCGUAACUUAGGGAUAAGGGGUGCCACCAUCAGGUGGCCGCAGAGAAUAGGCCCAAGCGACUGUUUACCAAAAACAUAGGUUUCUGCUAAGUCGCAAGACGAUGUAUAGGAGCUGACGCCUGCCCGGUGCUGGAAGGUUAAGGGGAUCUGUUAGAGCAAUCGAAGCAGUGAACUUAAGCCCCAGUAAACGGCGGCCGUAACUAUAACGGUCCUAAGGUAGCGAAAUUCCUUGUCGGGUAAGUUCCGACCCGCACGAAAGGCGUAACGAUUUGGGCACUGUCUCAACAACAGACUCGGUGAAAUUGUAAUUCCGGUGAAGAUGCCGGAUACCUGCGACAGGACGGAAAGACCCCAUGGAGCUUUACUGUAGCUUGACAUUGGGUCUUGGUACUACAUGUACAGGAUAGGUGGGAGGCUUUGAAACCAGGACGCCAGUUUUGGCGGAGCCAUCCUUGGGAUACCACCCUUGUAGUACUGGGACUCUAACCAUAGGCCAUGAAUCUGGUCUUGGGACACUGUCAGGUGGGCAGUUUGACUGGGGCGGUCGCCUCCCAAAAGGUAACGGAGGCGCUCAAAGGUUCUCUCAGUACGGUCGGAAAUCGUACGUAGAGUGUAAAGGCAAAAGAGAGCUUGAUUGCAAGACAUACAGGUCGAGCAAGGAUGAAAAUCGGACUUAGUGAUCCGGUGGUUCUGCGUGGAAGGGCCAUCGCUCAACGGAUAAAAGCUACCCUGGGGAUAACAGGCUUAUCUCCCCCAAGAGUCCACAUCGACGGGGAGGUUUGGCACCUCGAUGUCGGCUCAUCACAUCCUGGGGCUGUAGUAGGUCCCAAGGGUUGGGCUGUUCGCCCAUUAAAGUGGUACGCGAGCUGGGUUCAGAACGUCGUGAGACAGUUCGGUCCCUAUCCGUCGCAGGCGUAGGAAAUUUGAGAAGACC
rnacentral:rRNA from 1 species